rnacentral:rRNA from 1 species
UACAGAGGGUGCGAGCGUUGUCCGGAAUCACUGGGCGUAAAGGGCGCGUAGGUGGCUCGCCAAGCGUGCGGUGAAAGCCCGGGGCUCAACUCCGGGUCGGCCGUGCGAACUGGCGGGCUUGAGCUCGGUAGAGGCCGAUGGAAUUCCGGGUGUAGCGGUGGAAUGCGUAGAGAUCCGGAAGAACACCGGUGGCGAAGGCGGUCGGCUGGGCCGAUGCUGACACUGAUGCGCGACAGCGUGGGGAGCAAAC